AUGGCGAUGGCUGCAGCGGGGGAGUGGUGGGAGGCAGCGAAGGCGACCAUCGCGGCGUACACAGGACUGCCGCUGGAGGCGUUCAUCACGGUGGUUGCGGUGAUCGCCGGGCUUUACAUGGCCGUCUCCGGCUCAGUCGCACGGCCAGCCCCGUCGCCGCCGAGAAGGAAGGGGGCGGAGGACGAGAGGACGCUCGAGCGGCUGCUGCCACCGGUGCAGCUUGGUGAGGUGACGGAGAAGGAGCUGGGGCUCUAUGACGGGUCCGACCCCAAGAAGCCGCUCCUCAUCGCCAUCAAGGGGCAAAUUUAUGAUGUCACGCAGAGCAGGAUGUUCUAUGGACCUGGCGGCCCAUAUGCAUUGUUUGCGGGGAGAGAUGCAAGUAGGGCAUUGGCAAAGAUGUCAUUUGAGCUGAGUGAUUUAACUUGUGACGUUUCAGGCUUAGGCCCUUUGGAGGUGGAAGCCUUGCAAGAAUGGGAGCAAAAAUUCAUGGGCAAGUAUGUGAAGGUUGGAACAAUAAAGAAGACCAUUUUGGUCUCUGAUGAAGAUGGUAGAGCGCACGCUGAGAUAUCUGGAAUAGGCUUCGACGUAAAUGUAAUACAGAGAAAUCAUGAGUUGGCGCCAGAAGAAAAUAGAGCUGAAACUACAACUGCGGGUCAUGUAAGUGCAAUGGAGCAACCAAUAAAAAUAUCCCAUGUGGGUGACAGUAAAAGCAUCCAUGAAGAUGAAGUGGAGAAGCUAGAGGAAACGUGUGGUGCAGAUUUAAGGAACACAAGCAUCACUGGCGAUGGAGGAGAGCCUAAAGACGCCGGGGAGAAGGCAAAACAGGCACCAGGUGUAGAUGUGAACAGUAGCAGAAACCCGUGA
rnacentral:rRNA from 1 species